CGGAGCCCGGCACUUACCUGGCGCUGCCUCCCGGCCGCUCCGGCGGUCCCGCGCCGCGCGCCCGAUCACCACGGGGUGUUUUGGGGUUGUUUGUUUUUUUUUUUAGAAAGCCCAGAAGCGAAGCGUCCCUUCCUCCAGUUUGGAACCAUCUGUGACUGGAGCCAUGACGCAGCCAGAGCACAUUACUCACUUUUACAGUCACGACUUGGAAAUCCGUGCAGUUUCCAACCAAAAUUACACCGCCACCAUUGAAUUAUUUAAUAGGAUCCAGUUAAGGAGCCACCGCUUCCGAGUUCCGACGAUUGGCUGCACGUGCUGCAAGGGCUUUUUUUCCUUUAAACCCCGACCAAACAAACCGGGGACGGGUCCGUUUGUAAAUACGACCACGCGCGCUCGGGAAAGGGACGCUUCGGUUCCUACAUUCGGGGCGUCCGUGGGCGGAGUGCCGCGGUGCGGCUCCGCGGGGCUCGGCGCGAGGAGCGGCGCUUUGUGU
rnacentral:lncRNA from 1 species